GAAUGACCUAAUUCAGAUAAGGACUUUCGGAGCGGCGCGCAGGAGGAGGGGGCCAGGAGGACAGACUGACGGACAGGGCUCCUCUCUUUCCUCGCAGAUGCUGGAGCAGCGCCUGACCUGGGAGAUCCGUGCCUUGCAGAGCAGCAAGGAGCAGCUGCUCACUGAAGGUGAGACUCCAGCGUUGGGCCGGGAGCGAGGGGGCGGGGCCUGGCCUGCCGGAGUUCCUGGCCCCGCCCAUGACGCCCGGCCUCCCGCAGAGAGACUGGCGCGGGCCAAGCUGGAACAGGUGGCACGGCUGCUGCGCUCGCCUCCUGGGGUCCAGGGCACCCCGGCAAUGCACGACGGGUUCAAAUGUGAAUGGACCUGAGGAAGCUCAGCAUUGCCAAAAGGCUGAAGGGCAUGCCUAACGAAUGUGAGAAACUGUGAGAACCAGGCAGAGGAGCCAGAGGAGAGGUGCGCACCUGAGCUGGAUGUGCUGGAUGAAGGAGUGGCCAGGUGACUUCAUUAACCUCUCCAGGUGCGUAAUAAUUCCUCCCCGAGGGCAGGUGGUGGAGCGUGCUAGAUAACAGAAUAGAACCCAGAAUCCCAGCUCUGCUGCACGCUAGCUGUGUGACUGCAGGCCAGUUACUUAACUUCUCUCUGCCUUAGUUUCCUCAUCUGUAGAGGGUUGUUGUGAGGGUUAAAUAAAUUGAUAAUAGAUAGAAAGUGCUUAAAACA
rnacentral:lncRNA from 1 species